rnacentral:rRNA from 1 species
CGAACGCUGGCGGCGUGCUUACCACAUGCACGUCGACCGAAAAGAGGGAAAGAGCUUGCUCUUUCCGGAAUUGAGUGGCAAACGGGUGAGUAACACGUAAACAACCUGCCUUCAGGAUGGGGACAACAGACGGAAACGACUGCUAAUACCGAAUAAGUUCCAAGGGCCGCAUGGCCCAUGGAAGAAAAGGUGGCCUCUACCUGUAAGCUAUCGCCUGAAGAGGGGUUUGCGUCUGAUUAGCUGGUUGGAGGGGUAACGGCCCACCAAGGCGACGAUCAGUAGCCGGUCUGAGAGGAUGAACGGCCACACUGGAAUUGAGACACGGUCCAGACUCCUACGGGAGGCAGCAGUGGGGAAUCUUCCGCAAUGGGCGAAAGCCUGACGGAGCAACGCCGCGUGAGUGAUGACGGCCUUCGGGUUGUAAAACUCUGUGAUCCGGGACGAAAAGGCAGAGUGCGAAGAACAAACUGCAUUGACGGUACCGGAAAAGCAAGCCACGGCUAACUACGUG